CAGUUGCGAGCGAACGUGCAGGGAUACGCUCGUGUAUGUAAUAAACAGAAAAUGUAAACAGUAUGGGAUAUUCUCAGAACACUAGGCAGUCUUCAACUGUAACCUGUAGGACCAGGCAGAUAGCUUACAGACAAGGUAGGCAAGUUGCUGAAGGUGCAUUUUUUAAAUCCACUGGAAGUCCGCGUAAGUGAUGGGACGGCACGAGGCUGAGCAAAUAUGGGGAAAAAAAGGUGAUGAACAUCUCUGACAUUCAAGGUGUUACCAGGACUCAACAGAGAUGUUAUAGCUGCUCUGCACACUGCGGACAGUCGUGGUGCCCCCGCAGCAAACCAGCGGACAUAUAUAUCACUUGACUGUGUGUCAGGACGAUUACUGGAUAAAGAUCACAAUAUGACACUUUUCCUUUUCUGUGCUGGCUCAGUGAACAGUAGGAAAGCUCCUGCAGCUCAGCAUGCCCCUGUCCAGGAUAUUGAUCACAGAUCUCAGACCUAAGACCUCUCAAGCCUGUCAGGGAAAAUCAUUCUGCUUUUUUUAUUUUUCAAGAAAUCACCUUAAUUCUCACUUCACAUUUUACAUGAUGAUCUUCACCUGAUGAUCUCAUUGUAAGACUAUAAUCUCUUUUUUAAAGGAAAUCAAGACAUGUUUAUGCUCCAUUUCUUGCUGAAUAGCACAGUAUCUUAUCAGGAAUCUUUCCAGUGUAUCAGUACAAGUGUGGUGGAGUUUGCAUGAUGAUAUAUUUGAAUUUCUUUUGCUUUGUAGCACUAUUAACCCACUCUCCAUCUUUCUUUUUGAUCUGUGCUUUUUAUCAACAUACACUGGCUUUAAGUCAAAUAAAACAUAUAAAAAUACAAGCAUGUCUUAAAGGAUAACAAUAGCCGUAUUCUAUAUUUUUGUUAUUGUCAACAAAACUUCCCCAGACCAAGCUGUGAUUCUCUUGUGAGUAUGAACAGCAGCAGGAGUGUGUAUGUGAUGAUCGCCUCAAAAAUAAACUGCGGAUGACAACAUUCACCAUAAUGAAUGAACAUGUCUCCCAGUUUACAGGUAUCGUUGUGGUACUGUUGUGGUUUUAAUAGUUUUUGGACACCGGAGCUCUGUG